rnacentral:rRNA from 1 species
GAUGAACGCUGGCGGCGUGCCUAAUACAUGCAAGUCGAGCGAACAGACGAGGAGCUUGCUCCUCUGACGUUAGCGGCGGACGGGUGAGUAACACGUGGAUAACCUACCUAUAAGACUGGGAUAACUUCGGGAAACCGGAGCUAAUACCGGAUAAUAUAUUGAACCGCAUGGUUCAAUAGUGAAAGACGGUUUUGCUGUCACUUAUAGAUGGAUCCGCGCCGCAUUAGCUAGUUGGUAAGGUAACGGCUUACCAAGGCGACGAUGCGUAGCCGACCUGAGAGGGUGAUCGGCCACACUGGAACUGAGACACGGUCCAGACUCCUACGGGAGGCAGCAGUAGGGAAUCUUCGGCAAUGGGCGAAAGCCUGACGGAGCAACGCCGCGUGAGUGAUGAAGGUCUUCGGAUCGUAAAACUCUGUUAUUAGGGAAGAACAAAUGUGUAAGUAAAUAUGCACGUCUUGACGGUACCUAAUCAGAAAGCCACGGCUAACUACGUG